rnacentral:rRNA from 1 species
UACGUAGGGGGCGAGCGUUGUCCGGAGUUACUGGGCGUAAAGCGCGCGUAGGCGGUCUCUUAAGUCCGGGGUGAAAGGUUCAGGGCUCAACGCGAACAGUGCCUUGGAGACUGGGAGACUUGAGUGUGGGAGGGGGCAGUGGAAUUCCGGGUGUAGCGGUGAAAUGCGUAGAUAUCCGGAGGAACACCGAUGGCGAAAGCAGCUGCCUGGCCUGACACUGACGCUGAGGUGCGAAAGCGUGGGGAGCGAACGGG